rnacentral:rRNA from 1 species
AACGAACGCUGGCGGCAUGCCUAACACAUGCAAGUCGAACGAGACCUUCGGGUCUAGUGGCGCACGGGUGCGUAACGCAUGGGAACCUGCCCUUAGGUUCGGAAUAACUCCCCGAAAGGGGUGCUAAUACCGGAUAAUGUCUUCGGACCAAAGAUUUAUCGCCUUUGGAUGGGCCCGCGUUGGAUUAGCUAGUUGGUAGGGUAAAAGCCUACCAAGGCGACGAUCCAUAGCUGGUCUGAGAGGAUGAUCAGCCACACUGGGACUGAGACACGGCCCAGACUCCUACGGGAGGCAGCAGUGGGGAAUAUUGGACAAUGGGCGAGAGCCUGAUCCAGCAAUGCCGCGUGAGUGAUGAAGGCCUUAGGGUUGUAAAGCUCUUUUACCCGGGAUGAUAAUGACAGUACCGGGAGAAUAAGCUCCGGCUAACUCCGUG